UACGUAGGGGGCGAGCGUUGUCCGGAUUUAUUGGGCGUAAAGAGCGUGUAGGCGGCCUGACAAGUCUGCUGUGAAAACUCGAGGCUCAACCUCGAGAUGUCGGCGGAAACUGUCUGGCUAGAGUCCGGAAGAGGAGAGUGGAAUUCCUGGUGUAGCGGUGAAAUGCGCAGAUAUCAGGAAGAACACCUAUGGCGAAGGCAGCUCUCUGGGACGGUACUGACGCUGAGACGCGAAAGCGUGGGGAGCGAACGGG
rnacentral:rRNA from 1 species